ensembl:snRNA U6 U6 spliceosomal RNA
GUGCUCGCUUCGGCAGCACAUAUACUAAAAUUGGAAUGAUACAGAGAAGAUUAGCAUGGCCCCUGCACAAGGAUGAAAUGCAAAUUCGUGGACCAUUCCAUAUUUUU